UGGAGACGUGCAGACAACUAGGAGGUUGGCUCAGAAGCAGCCAUCCUUCAAAGAGUGCGUAACAGCUCACUAGUCGAGUGACCCUGCGCCGAAAAUGUACCGGGGCUAAGCCUGAUACCGAAACUGCGGAUUGUAGGAAACUAUAGUGGUAGGGGAGCGUUGUAUACGAGUAGAAGCCGUACCGUGAGGAGCGGUGGAUUGUAUAGAAGUGAGAAUGCCGGUGUGAGUAGCGAGAUGUAGGUGAGAAUCCUACACACCGAAAGCCCAAGGAUUCCAGGGGAAGGUUCGUCCGCCCUGGGUAAGUCGGGACCUAACGCGAGGCCGAAAGGCGUAGUGGAUGGAAAGCAGGCGAAAGAUUCCUGCACCCGUAUAUGGAGCGAAGGAGUGACGGAGACGGAUAGUGUGACCCUCUUAAUGGAUUGAGGGCGAAGCGAAGCGGCUGGUUACCAGGCAAAUCCGGUAACUGAAAGGCUAGAGCGUGACAGGCAAGCGAAAUCUUAGGAAAGUAGCGAAGCACAUGAUGACGGCUUCCAGGAAAAGCUUCUGGCAAUGCAUAUGCGGCCCGUACCAAAACCGACACAGGUGGGCAGGGAGAGAAUCCCGAGGUGAGCGAGAGAACUGUUGCCAAGGAACUCGGCAAAAUGACUCCGUAAGUUAGCGAGAAGGAGUGCUUAAGCAAUUAAGCCGCAGUGAAGAGGCCCAAGCGACUGUUUAACUAAAACACAGCUCUCUGCGAAGUCGCAAGACGAAGUAUAGGGGGUGACACCUGCCCGGUGCUGGAAGGUUAAGAGGAUCUGUUAAGAGCGAUCUGAAGCAGUGAUCCGAAGCCCCAGUGAACGGCGGCCGUAACUAUAACGGUCCUAAGGUAGCGAAAUUCCUUGUCAGGUAAGUUCUGACCCGCACGAAAGGUGUAACGAUUUGGGCGCUGUCUCGGCAGCAGACUCGGUGAAAUCUUAGUACCUGUGAAAAUGCAGGUUACCCGCAACUAGACGGAAAGACCCCAUGGAGCUUUACUGCAGCCUGAUAUUGAAUUCUGGUCAUACAUGUACAGGAUAGGUGGGAGACAAAGAGACGUGCACGCCAGUGUACGAGGAGUCGACGUUGGGAUACCACUCUUGUGUGACCGGGGUUCUAACCUGGUAUCGAUAACAGGUACGGGGAGAGUGUCAGGUGGGCAGUUUGACUGGGGCGGUCGCCUCCCAAAGAGUAACGGAGGCGCCCAAAGGUACGCUCAGAUUGGAUGGAAACCAAUCGACGAGUGCAAUUGCAGAAGCGUGCUUGACUGUGAGACUUACAAGUCGAACAGGGACGAAAGUCGGGAAUAGUGAUCCGGCGGUGCCGAAUGGAAGGGCCGUCGCUCAACGGAUAAAAGCUACCCUGGGGAUAACAGGCUGAUCUCGCCCAAGAGUUCACAUCGACGGCGAGGUUUGGCACCUCGAUGUCGGCUCAUCGCAUCCUGGAGCUGGAUUCGGUUCCAAGGGUUGGGCUGUUCGCCCAUUAAAGCGGUACGCGAGCUGGGUUCAGAACGUCGUGAGACAGUUCG
rnacentral:rRNA from 1 species